rnacentral:rRNA from 1 species
ACUCCUACGGGAGGCAGCAGUGGGGAAUAUUGCACAAUGGGCGCAAGCCUGAUGCAGCCAUGCCGCGUGUAUGAAGAAGGCCUUCGGGUUGUAAAGUACUUUCAGCAGUGAGGAAGGCGAGUACGUUAAUAGCGUGCUCGUUUGACGUUAGCUGCAGAAGAAGCACCGGCUAACUCCGUGCCAGCAGCCGCGGUAAUACGGAGGGUGCGAGCGUUAAUCGGAAUUACUGGGCGUAAAGCGCAUGCAGGUGGUUUGUUAAGUCAGAUGUGAAAGCCCGGGGCUCAACCUCGGAAUUGCAUUUGAAACUGGCAGACUAGAGUACUGUAGAGGGGGUAGAAUUUCAGGUGUAGCGGUGAAAUGCGUAGAGAUCUGAAGGAAUACCGGUGGCGAAGGCGGCCCCCUGGACAGAUACUGACACUCAGAUGCGAAAGCGUGGGGAGCAAACAGGAUUAGAUACCCUGGUAGUGUACUG